AUUGUAGAAGAUGUGAUGGAAUGGGGUCAAGAGGGCAGGUGGUCGGACGGGCAGAUGUUACUAGCUUCAAGCCCUUAAAGAAAUUGAGGUUUUGCUGGUAGUAAUGAAAAAUAUUUAAACCAAACAGCUUUGGCACAGCUAUCCUUUUGUGGAGAAAAUGUUAUUCUCACUGAAGAGAUUCAAUGCAUGAUGGAUGUUUGGUAUUUAUUGGCAUUUAUCUUCACCUCCAUGGAAUACGAUUUAGGGAUUACAUAGAACAUAUUCUCACUCACUGAUUGAAGGAGUAAAAACCAGAAACAAUAGUUUCUUUGGAAAUGCUGAUGUGCUCUCCUGGUAUGGAUAGUCUAAUAUUUGCACAGAGGGAUUCUUAAACAUCCCGCAGGUUACGGCCAUUGGGUGGAAGUUGAUGGAUGUGGUAUGGCGCCUCCAGCUGUCGCUAAACAACCACCGCAUCUCACCACCAAAUCCAUGGCAACACAGCCGGAGCUGCGUCCAGGCUGUCAGUGGUAGAAAUCCCGUUGGGGGGAGGCUGCACAACGUGUUGUAUAAGUUAUUGGCUUAUUAUUGCUGUUUAGUUUCAUUUACAGUGUUACCUCUCUAAAUUAGGAGUCACUCUUGUUUAAAUGUUUUAUGUGUGAAAUUUUUGCAGCUCAAUAUCUCUGCUUCUUCAGGCUGAAUCUUUUUUUGGGAGCGCUUUCUCAUGUUUUAUAGCUCAAUUCAGCCCCAAAGGACUAAUAGGACAGGUUAAUGAGAAAAAUCUCCCCAUGCCUCUGGACUACAAAUAAAAUACCAAUUAACUUGUUUCCUAAAGAAGAGACGAACAUUAUGUUUUGCUGUCUGUUUGCUGUCCUUACUGAUGUUUGGUAUUUGAGUCCACCUUUUUGGGUUAAGGACAGCAUUGAAGUCACAACAAUGGACCUGCAGGUGUGCUGUGGACUGACACAGUGCAGGAUUUGUUCUUGCGAGCGGCAUGUUUUGUCUUCUUCCUGGUUUCAGUUGAUAUAGCCUCAGACUCAUCCAUGCGGGCAAACAAAAUCCUUCUCCAUUCACUGAGGAGCUUUUGAUAUUUCAGUGGCUAUGUCCUGCAUGUUUGCUUUGGAGCUGGUUUUUGUGGCGGCUGGUUUGACGUUUUAGAUAUUUGGCUUGUUUAUUGUUGUGGAUUAACAAUACACAAGUUGGGAUGGUUUGAUUUCCACUUUUUCUUUUGCAGUUUCAGACACCAGUGUCGCCGGCAUUGCCCCCAGAGUACCUACGAAGACUGGGGUAGGGGUUUGUGUCUGCUGUGUCCUGCACCGUGCACAGACUGCAGGGGCAAGACGCGCUGUCUAGCCUGCCAGACCGGUUACUUCCUCAACGGAAGAGACUGUUUAAAACAGUGCCCGUAGCAGACCUUCAGUGACUCCAGUGGGUGGUUCUGCCAGUCCUGCCACACCUCCUGCCAGCCAUGCCACGGCCCGCGGGCGACCAACUGCGACCUGUGUCUCGGUGGGAACCCUCCUGUGCACGGCCAGUGCCCUCCGGUCAACUGCCUGCUGGGACCGUACUAUGACAGUAAGAGGAACAACCAACUGCAAAUGUGAUUAAAGCAAAUUGAUCAAGACCCGAGUAUCAGGUGAGAGGGGAGCCAGAGAUUGAACCAAAUGGCAUGAUGCUUGACUAGUUCAUUCCUGCAUGGAAAUAAUAGUUUUUCUCCUAUUAGAGGCUAGAAUGGUGUUCCAGGAAUGGGGUGGGAUUCAGUGUGUGGUUCAAGGACGCGUUAGCGUCGUGGAUGCUUGCCGCUGAGGCGGUAGCUUGGACCCCUGCUGGAGGACCUAAAGGCUGAAGGACGCUCACUGUGUCACACUGGCUCACCCGCACUACCUCACCUCUCAUUCUAAAGCCAUUUUAGUGUAGUGUGUUUCAAAAAGCUUCUCUGCCUCAAGCACUCGGCUCUUCAACUGUUUCCCCUGUGGCGUCUGGCUCGACAGAAUUAGAAUAUCACACUCGGUUGUCGUCAGCCAUACGGGGUAAUCGGGCAGAUCAGUUACUUAUUAAAAAAUAUUUUUUGAUAUGGUUUGGUAAAAUCUAUUUUUACAUUCCAAUUAUAUCUGAACUCAUAUUUGUGUAGUACAGAUAUUAUUAAAAAGCUCAGUUAAUCCCACUUGAAACCCUUAUGCCUUGUACACAGUUCCUACUCCCAUGCAUAUAGAGUAGGAAUUGUAAGUAAACAUGAGCAGUUCUAUGCAAUAAUGGAUUAUUUCGCGGCUUCCCUGUUGUGAAUAACUGGUAAUAUUAUGCAGGUUUCACCUACCUGAACCGCAUCCAUCAUUUGUGCCUCAAUAACACGUAUUAUUGAAAUUCAUUACUAUGCUUCCCUCUAGUGGUAAAAGUGGGUAAAGCAGAGAAUUCUGCAGUUCCUGUGCUUGCGCGCUCAGGUUAAGUCACUUGUCUAUUUUCUGUCAAAUGUGAUGUUUUAUUGUUCCAUAUGGUCACUGUGUAUUACUUUGUUUUUAGGGAAAUAUAGUGAAUGUCUCGCUUGUGAUGGAUCCUGUAAAAGCUGUUUUGGCCCACAAGCGCUGGAUUGUUCUUCUUGUUUCAAAGGCCUGCCUGGACACCAGUGAUAACUGAAUCAGCUGUGCUAAAGGCAGCUAUAAACUCUUUCUCCACCAGGGGAGGUGCUGGUCAAAUUGCCCAGAAGGCUUCUUUGAGACAGCAGAGGAGUCGUGUGAAGCCUGUGACAGCUCCUGUUUGUCAUGUGACGGGAUCUAGUCCCAGUGUCUGUCCUGUGCUGAUGGACACUACUUGGAGAGUGGUGUGUGUGGACUCAACUGUUCACUGCAGACAUACCCUGCAGACGAUGGUACCUGCCGACGCUGUUCUCCCCACUGUGACGUCUGCUCCGACGAGAGGACCGGUUUCAGUGAGUCAUCGGCCGAGUGGGCAGCUUUUUGAUUUGGAGUGGAUUCCAUUUUUAAUGAAUUGUAAGACUUUGCAUCACACCUGGAAAUCUUAUACCACACCUCUUCAAUAUCAUUUCAGAAUGCAGCUUCCUUAACUGAUUCUGAACGGUGUGUGUAAGGCAAGUUGUCCCCCGGGGUACUAUGAGGACAUGGACGAGGGCCGCUGUGGCCAGUGCCACCCGACAUGUGGCAGUUGUUCGGGGCCCCUGGCAGAUGACUGCGACACCUGCUUGACAUUUAGCCCCAAACUUUAUAAGGGAACAUGCUCCAACGACUGCCCCACUGGUACCUACUAUGAAACGGAAGCACUGGAAUGUCAAGAGUGCCACCAGACCUGUAUGAGCUGCUCCGGCCCAGACGCCAACCAGUGCACCCAGUGCGAGAAGGGCUUUGUGCUGAAUCCAAACACGUUGUUAUGUGGCGUGACAGGCGACACCAACUGCCCACAAAGGACCUACCUACAUGACGACUGCUUCACCUGCAUGCGUUGCCAUCAGCACUGUUACUCCUGUGAAGGGCCAGGCAACGACGAGUGCCAGACCUGUGCCGUCCCCAGAUACCUCCAUAGUGAGCAUGUUCCCACCAUUUCUCACUGCUUACUCGAGCGGGUGUGGGGUUGAACAUGAACGGAAAUCAGCAGAGGAAACUGGCCCAUAACGAUGGCUCUCCUGAGAUUAUUUAACAGUUUAAGUUUAGGGUGAAAUGAUCGCCUGGGUGUGGAACUUUGGGUUUAUUUUGCAGGCAGCACUUGUGUGAGCGAGUGUCCAGCUGGCACAUACGACUCAGAGCAGGAUGCCGACGGAGCCGAGCUCGGCCUCUGUGUGCCUUGUGAUCACGCCUGUUCCACCUGCUCGGAGGCAUCCCCCAAAGAUUGCCUCACUUGCUCUCCAGGAUACCUGCUUCAUCUCCUUCAACUCUGUGUCCCACAUUGUCCCACAAGGUACAACGUUAAAGCCUCCAUUUUAUUUAGUUUGUGAUUAAACAAAAUGGCCUGUUGACCUGUGGGUGACCCUCCAAUCAGAGGGUCGUCGGUUCGAUCCCAGGCUCUGCUAACCCACAUGUCGAUGUGUUCUUGGGCAAGACACUCAAUCCAACAUUGCUCCUGUAGCUGCGAAUGGUAGUUACUGAUGUGCAGGUGUC